GACGAACGCUGGCGGCGUGCUUAACACAUGCAAGUCGAACGCUGAAGCUUGGUGCUUGCACUGGGUGGAUGAGUGGCGAACGGGUGAGUAAUACGUGAGUAACCUGCCCUUGACUCUGGGAUAAGCCUGGGAAACUGGGUCUAAUACUGGAUACGACAUGUCACCGCAUGGUGGUGUGUGGAAAGGGUUUUACUGGUUUUGGAUGGGCUCACGGCCUAUCAGCUUGUUGGUGGGGUAAUGGCUCACCAAGGCGACGACGGGUAGCCGGCCUGAGAGGGUGACCGGCCACACUGGGACUGAGACACGGCCCAGACUCCUACGGGAGGCAGCAGUGGGGAAUAUUGCACAAUGGGCGGAAGCCUGAUGCAGCGACGCCGCGUGAGGGAUGACGGCCCUCGGGUUGUAAACCUCUUUCAGCACGGAAGAAGCGAAAGUGACGGUACGUGCAGAAGAAGCGCCGGCUAACUACGUG
rnacentral:rRNA from 1 species